rnacentral:rRNA from 1 species
UCGGAAUUACUGGGCGUAAAGCGCAUGCAGGUGGUUUGUUAAGUCAGAUGUGAAAGCCCUGGGCUCAACCUAGGAAUCGCAUUUGAAACUGACAAGCUAGAGUACUGUAGAGGGGGGUAGAAUUUCAGGUGUAGCGGUGAAAUGCGUAGAGAUCUGAAGGAAUACCGGUGGCGAAGGCGGCCCCCUGGACAGAUACUGACACUCAGAUGCGAAAGCGUGGGGAGCAAACAGGAUUAGAUACCCUGGUAGUCCACGCCGUAAACGAUGUCUACUUGGAGGUUGUGCCCUAGAGGCGUGGCUUUCGGAGCUAACGCGUUAAGUAGACCGCCUGGGGAGUACGGUCGCAAGAUUAAAACUCAAAUGAAUUGACGGGGGCCCGCACAAGCGGUGGAGCAUGUGGUUUAAUUCGAUGCAACGCGAAGAACCUUACCUACUCUUGACAUCCAGAGAAUCUAGCGGAGACGCUGGAGUGCCUUCGGGAGCUCU